UACAGAGGGGCAAGCGUUGUUCGGAAUUACUGGGCGUAAAGGGCGCGUAGGUGGCCUUCUAAGUUGAACGUGAAAUCCCUGGGCUCAACCCAGGAACUGCGUCCAAGACUGGGAGGCUUGAAUCCGGGAGAGGGAUGCGGAAUUCCAGGUGUAGCGGUGAAAUGCGUAGAUAUCUGAAAGAACACCAGUGGCGAAGGCGGUCAGCUGGUCCGUUACUGACACUAAAGCACGAAAGCGUGGGUAGCAAACAGG
rnacentral:rRNA from 1 species